rfam:Streptomyces silvensis strain ATCC 53525 53525_Assembly_Contig_7, whole genome shotgun sequence.
CUUCACCGACCCCAGCCACAGCGGUCGGUCCGCGGGCCGGUCCUGGCCGUACGUGGCCAGGAGGGCGUCCGCCUC